CCGGAGUCUGUAUGACAAUGUAACCGGCUAUGCCAGGGUCUGGAUGAUAAGGCUAGCGAGACGAGUCUCACAUCGCCUAGUGAUUUUGGGCCGUAUGUGUGAUUGGACAGACGAGGACGUCAGGGCCUUAACGGGGGGAGUCUGUCACACCCUAAUAAUUCCAUAUCGGAUAGAAUUGAGGAUGUGAUUGGAUAUAUAAGAGACUNUGUAUGACAAUGUAACCGGCUAUGCCAGGGUCUGGAUGAUAAGGCUAGCGAGACGAGUCUCACAUCGCCUAGUGAUUUUGGGCCGUAUGUGUGAUUGGACAGACGAGGACGUCAGGGCCUUAACGGGGGGAGUCUGUCACACCCUAAUAAUUCCAUAUCGGAUAGAAUUGAGGAUGUGAUUGGAUAUAUAAGAGACUUAAACACUAGUAAUAAUAACUAGGCUUAAGCAUUUUGGGCCGGUAAUUGGACCCAACGAAUUAUUAUUGCUAAUAGACUGAAUCAUUACAUCAAUUCUCUAUUCAGUAUACAUCAUACACACGUACCCACGUCCACCAUCCAAGGAGAACCACAAUCUGUUGUUUAUUUAUCAAGAUAAUCACAAUAAUAUGUCAACACAUCCAACCAAACGUGGCUCAUACUCUUAGGUAUCGUUUGGUUCGGGGAUAAGCAAAAAGUGGGUAUUCUAGGCCGGAUAGGUAUAAAUUGAGAUAUAAGCGGAGAUUAGAUCAAUUUUGCGUUUGGAUGAAAAUUGGGUUAUUUCUGGAAAUAAGAAAAAUAACGUUUAGUUAGGUAAGAUGAAAUAAGAAUUAAAGUGGGUAGUUAUAAAUAAAAAAUAACAAUAUUAUCCCUUUCUUUAUAUUAGAAUUAGAAUUUUUAAUCUCAAAUUUUAAAUUCAAAAUUUUAAAUUUUAAAUUUCAAACUUUAAAUUUAAGAUCAAAUUUAAAUUUUUAAAAAAUAAAAUAUCAAAUUUAAAAUUUCAAAAAUUUUAAAUAUCAAAAUUAAAUUUUAAAUUUAUUUAAUUUUUAAAUUUUAAUUUAUUAUAAUAUUUAAAUAUAAUUUAUUAUAAAAUUUAUUACAAUAUUUAAAUAUAAAUAAUAUGUAUUAAUAUAGUACAAUUAAUAAUUUUAUAAUAAAAAUAAUGUAUUAUAAUAUAUAAUAUAUUAUAUUUAUAUAAUUUAGUUUUAAUUUAUUUUAUAAUUUUAAUUAAGUUUAAAAUUAAGCAUUGGAAUAGCACUAUUCCACCAAAAUGGUGGAAUGGUAAAAAGCUUGCUAUUCCGGGAUAAUCGGGAAUAGCAAGCUUUGACUGGGAUAAAAUAUUCUGGUAAAAAAUGAUCCCGUUUGGCGGAUAAGCGGGGAUAACUUUCAUUAUUCCCGCUUAUCCCCCGAACCAAACGGGGCCUUAAGGAAUACUAAAUGCACACAUCGCAUUCGCACCCAACACAAUACCCAAUCCAGCUUGUGCCGCACAAGUAAGGUAAGGUACGACUCGACAAUGUUAAUGCAAUACUGAUAUACUGCAUAAAAUGUGUGACUCAGCACUGUCAAUAACACGUAUACAAAACUAUUAUAUUUUAAUCCAACAGGGUUC
rnacentral:lncRNA from 1 species